AAAUUGAAGAGUUUGAUCAUGGCUCAGAUUGAACGCUGGCGGCAGGCCUAACACAUGCAAGUCGAGCGGAAACGAGUUAUCAGAACCUUCGGGGGACGAUAGCGGCGUCGAGCGGCGGACGGGUGAGUAAUGCCUAGGAAAUUGCCCUGAUGUGGGGGAUAACCAUUGGAAACGAUGGCUAAUACCGCAUGAUGCCUACGGGCCAAAGA
rnacentral:rRNA from 1 species